GUGAGCUCACGCAACCGUGAAGUCAGCUCACGCAACCGUGAAGUCAGAUUCCUCCGCCGAGGCGGCCCUCUCUCCGGGGGCUUUGCCUUCGCUCUCCAGCUUUUCUUCUUUCACUCCCGCGCGCCGACUCCAGCCCGCUGGGCUCACGCUCUGCCGGACACCAAUCCCGGCGCCCCUGCCCGACGGCGCUCAAGGAUAGGCCUGGCCUUGUCCGCGGAGUCCGCCCCUCGCCGCCACCGGGACCGGCCCCCGAGCCGACACGCACUUCCGGCAGCGCCGCGGCCGGCAGGGAGUGAGCGGGGAGCAAGGCCUGCGGUGAGGCGCGGGAUGGACGCGCUGGCUGUCAUGAUGUAGGAUCUCCUGACCCAGAACCAUGCCCGGCGCAGGGAGAACAACGAGCUUAUGGACCGGGUGCGGGGGCUGCUGUGCGAGAAAGCCUACCUGCUGGCCCGGGAGCGUUCGCCGGCCCACCUGGUGGCUUUCCCGAGACGUUUAACGGCGACUCCGCCCGGCCUCCCGACUUUUUGAUGCAGGGUUCUCUUACAUGACUUUCUUCCAGGCUAGAUUCUUGAAAGACAUCCUGAAGGUGGCUUUCUUAAUUAGCUGCCUCACUGGGUGGCGGAGCAGUGGGUAGUCCCCUACAUCGAGAGGGAGAGCCCCGUCCUGGCUCAGUACGUGGGCUUCGUGGACGCGCUGUAGCCGGGCCUUGGCCGUUGUGGGUAGGAAACAAUCGGGCCGGAUCCCCGGUGUCUGGGGAGCGGCUGCAGCCGGGGCCCGCGCGAGCCACUUCACUCCUACAAGCCCGGCUCACUAGUUCCAAGCUGCUGGACUUUGACCCUCGCUGGGAAGCCUGCUCGCCGCCUGUUCUCGCCAAUCUCUAUGCCUUUGCACUGCCCAGCAACCCGGCCACUGCCCAGGACCUGUUAAAAGUUGAAUGGACCUCCCAGAAUCACGCCCCUGCCACCGCCGUUUCUAGAGACGGCUUUUGGCCACCUUUGAGAAUCAGGGUCAAACUUGGAAGGGCCUGCAUUUGUCAUACCUCCUCGGACACUAAUUUGGAUAGUUCAGGCCCUGAGACAGCUUCCCGGGUUAGUGUGCCUGACAACACUGAUGAAAAAUUGUGACAUUUUCCUUCCCCAAAACUACUUCGUUUUAUACAUUUCACUUCUCUUCUGAAAUCACAGCAAUGUCAGUUUGCGCCUUUUGGUCUGAGGAACCCAGGCCCUGGCCACUACCAGGAAAAAGUAUUUACUUUUAAAACUUGAAUGUAUAUCUUUACCAUAUGCCUAGUACAGUAGUGCUUGGAAGAAACAGAUUAGUAAGACAAAAUGUAUGUCUUCAAGAACACUUACGUUCUGAGAAAGAAUUCUGAAUGCAGAUUCUAAUGUCUGGUAAAAUGCUUGACGGUGUAAAGAAUGCAUAUAUGAUUCUUAUGGCAUUUUAAACUUUCCAUCCCACUGUUUUAAAGUGUUAACAUAUGUUAAAAAAUAUAUGCAAUUUAGAAAGGAGAGGGAAAGCCCAGCUUGAUGUUUGCUGCCAAAGAUGGUAUAUUUAAAAUUAAACAAAACUAAUGGCAAAAAAUAAUGGGAAUGCUGCAGUCUUUGAGCUGUAUCCAGUUGGCAUUAUUCUCUUGGACUAAAAGGAAUAGUAUUAACUUCCUCACUUUGGGUAAGCCACUUUAGAUUUUUGGGCUGCAGUUUUCUCAGGUAAUUAGAGACUUUAUAUUAUUAAAGUUUGGUUCACAAUUCUUUGAGUCUCUUUUGGGAACAAAGAAGGUAAGAGGAGGAUAUGUGCCCUCCUUCAAUCAAGGGGUUUCUUGAAACCCUCUAAGGAGAAAAAUCUGAAACUGCCCUUCCUAAAACGCUCAUGGGUUUGUCAUACUGAUGAUCAAUAUCGUCCCAGUGAAAUAUCUUUGAAUUCCUAGUUAGGAAUCUUUAUGUUAAGAUAAACUGAUCACUCUCUCCUUCGUGGACAGUUUAUCUACCUAAAGACGAUAGGGGAAAACACUGUUUUUGAAAGACGAAAUAAAGACAUGUUGUAGCAGUUA
rnacentral:lncRNA from 1 species